rnacentral:tRNA from 2 species
CGGGAAGUGGCGCAGCCUGGUAGCGCACCUGCCUUGGGAGCAGGGGGUCGCUGGUUCAAAUCCAGUCUUCCCGACCA